CGCUGGCGGCGUGCUUAACACAUGCAAGUCGAACGAGAAUCACUGGAAGGAGUUUUCGGACAACGGAAGGUGAGGACAGUGGCGGACGGGUGAGUAACGCGUGAGGAACCUGCCUUUCAGAGGGGGACAACAGUUGGAAACGACUGCUAAUACCGCAUAAGCGCACGGUAUCGCAUGAUACAGUGUGAAAAACUCCGGUGGUAUAAGAUGGACCCGCGUCUGAUUAGCUUGUUGGUGAGGUAACGGCCCACCAAGGCGACGAUCAGUAGCCGGCCUGAGAGGGUGAACGGCCACAUUGGGACUGAGACACGGCCCAAACUCCUACGGGAGGCAGCAGUGGGGAAUAUUGCACAAUGGGGGAAACCCUGAUGCAGCGACGCCGCGUGAGUGAUGAAGUAUUUCGGUAUGUAAAACUCUAUCAGCAGGGAAGAUAAUGACGGUACCUGACUAAGAAGCACCGGCUAAAUACGUG
rnacentral:rRNA from 1 species